AGUUUCUUUUUCAAGCAGACACGCUGCUAUGUUUAGACAGAUAGACACCUUGAAUACUUGUCGCGUGUUUUUAUGCAGUUUAUUUCCAUGAAAUAACAUUCUAGACCAUGCACAAGCUACAUUAGCUUAUGUUGUCUUUGUCUGUCCAGAAAUGUAUUUGCGUCUUGAGUUGUUGUAUCAUUUUCUUCUGUCAAGUUGGUGCAAGAAACUGACAAAAUGUUAAUUUCAUCAUAGCUGAUGAUAUGAGACCAACAUUAGGAUACUACGGGGAUCCUGUUGUGAAACAGGACAUUGAUCAUCUUGCCUCUAAACGCAAUGUCUUUCUCAACGCAUAUGCCCAGCAAGCAGUGUGUGCACCAAGUCGGACCUCCUUACUAACAAGUCAUAGACCUGACACAACCAAGUUAUAUGACUUUAUCUCCCACUGGAGAGUCAAUGCAGGGAUCUACACAACUCUCCCUCAGUGCUUCAAGUCAAAGGGCUACACCACUAUGCCAGUGGUGAAGGUCUUUCAUCCAGGUUUGCAAGGGCAUUGAUGGCCAACUGCAUGUCAACCUGCUGUGCUCGGUGAAUGUGUCAGAACCCCCUCUGGGGACACUACCAUACAUGGAGAGCACAGAGGCUGUCAGACUGCUCAAGUCCACAAGGGAUUCUGGGAAGCACUUAUUUCUCGCUGUUGGAUUCCACAAACCUCACAUUCCUUUCAGAAUCCCACAGGAGUUCUUGAAGCACUAUCCCUGGAUAAGAUGACCCUGAUGUUCCUAAAGGCCUCCCCAGCAUGACCUACAAUCCCUGGACUGACAUUAGGAAGAUGUUCAAGCUCUGAAUGUCAGCUUCCCAUAUGAACCAAUACCAAAGGAAUUCCAGGUUGAUUAUACAUGUACACUCUUUGGGAAAAAAAGUGCUAUCUAGAACCUAAAAGGGUUCUUCGGCUGUCCCCAAAGGAGAACCCUUUGAAGAGCCGUUUUUGGUUUCAUACCACAUACUAUUAAUAUUUGUGUUAGUGAUUCAGCAUCAGAAGUUAUGUCAAGACACUCUCUCAUUAUAGAAUAUAUAUUGUUUAUUAUAAAUCCAGAGUUAAAAAUCUGUGUUUCGGUCAGAGACCUUCAUCAGACAAUGUUUGUGACUCAGCUCUAGAUUCGACAGCACUAUUAUGUUUCUGUGAUGUACCUGGACUCCCAAGUGGGCAUGUUGUCAAAUACUCUGGAUGAUCUGGGCCUGGCUAAAGACAAUGAUGUGCUCUUUACUUCAGACCAUUGGAAAAGUAAUUUGGCCAUAUAGCCCAGUCCUAAACUGGGCUGGGUUCAGUAUGAAAAAAUGGUGUGCAGUGUUCAGUUAAAUAUAAACGUUGCUGUUCUGAAUGACAAGUUGAAAAACGGGGAGGAGUUGGGUCGUGGGUUGGUAUGACGAUUCAAAAUACACCGCUGCCCUUUAAAUACGUCACUCAUUGCUCCAAGCCGCACCCCACCACACACACCAAACGGAGCAAACGUACAUCAAAAUUUGUUUAAAAAACGUGGGGGAACAUGUCAUUCAGUACAAACCGUCACGCAAUGUACCAAACGUUUAAUCAAACUGAACGAACCCCUAGUGUCUGUAAUGGUUUGUUAAUGGCAGUGCUUGAGGUACUCUUUAGCCACUAGAUGGGGGUGUGAGAACAUCAAAAUUCUGCUUUCACCUUCCUGAGUUGACAAAGAUUUACUUCACCAGCUUGGAUCCAUUCAUAGCAUAUAUCAGUCCCUCCAGGAUUCUAUGAUCAUGUUUUUUAAUUUUUUUUAUCAACAAUUCCCUCCAUAAUAUGCGAGGGCUUGCAAAUUUGAACAAUCACUGCACUUCUGCAUUAAAAAAAAGUCAAAACAUCGCAUAAAACUGACCCAUCACCACAGUUUAUAAAGAGGGCAUGCAAUUUCAACCAAUCACCUCUAAUUUACCACAUAAUAUGGUUCAAUCAAGCCACACGUCAACAAAUGUUUUCCCUCGUCAGCGCAUUUCUACAACAAAUUGGACAAAAUCAUUGCAUAUUACCGUGCAAAAUGUCAGAAUUUUUGCCUACAAAUAUCACAAAAAAUCCCUGCCGAAAUCCUGGAGGGACUGAUAUGUUGUCUUGACUAUGAACUGUAGGUUGAUUUACAGGAGCAUCGUAUGUCAAAUGAGUUAUUGUUACAUGUUUUUUAUUCCAUGCCUGUAUGUUGCAUACCAUGGCCAAUAAUACAUUUUAUGUUGUCCGAUUGCUUAUUUUACAAAAAUGACAAUGUAAUUAUGAUUCCUUUCUCUUAAAGGAUGGUCACUUGGGUAGCAUGGGGAAUGGGCCAAAUACAGCAACUUUGACGUGGCCACUCGCCUUCCCCUAAUGUUCUACGUACCAGGUGUGACUGCAGUCCGCCAGGGGAUGAGAUCUUUCCCUACAUAGAUGUGUUUGGUCCAGCACAGCAUCACUUUACACAAGGACAGAUGGUGCAAGAGAAGUUUGUUCUCUACUAUGUGACAUUGUUAUUCCCAGUUCUGUUGAUGGAUUGUGACUAUCUUACUCUCACUGGAGGAAUGUGAGUGAGCUGCUAGAUGUCUUCCCCACAGUGUCUUACCUGGCUGGGCUGAAGCCCCCACACCCCUGUCUUGACAACUCCUUCGACGUGGAGCUCUGUACCCUAGGGAGACAACCUGGCCUACUCCUUCAAGCACCUAGACUACAGCAAGGACUGCAGCCAGUAUCCCAAGGCCUGCAGACACCCCCCCCAGGAGAACUCUGACAAGCCUAACCUGAAGGAAUUCUAGGUGAUGGGCUACUCUGCCCUCCUGGGACUACCGCUUCACCCUGUGGGUGGGUUUCGACCCUGCUAGCUUCCAGACUGACCUGGUGGUCCACGCUGUGGAACUGUACCUCAUGGAGAGAGACCCAGGCCAGGACCACAACCUGUACUCUGCAAGCUGGGCCAGGACCAUCAUCAGCUGAACACCCUUCCCUCAAACACCACCUCUACGUCACUGCAGAGAUUAAAUCUAAAGGGAUGUCAUGAUAAUGCCUUGUUUCGAUAAUGAACUAUUUAGAAGGGAAGAUCUGAAUUGUUGCUAUAUUCAGAAAGGACUCAACAUUUAAUGAAUAUAUUGAAUGUCCCACAGUUACAAUAAGGGCACUUAAUGUUGUUUGUAGUUAACCGUUAAGAUAUUAGUUGCUGCUAUUAUGGUUAACCUGUAGUAUCUACAGUACAUGGGUUUUUAGGCACACACAUUGUCUUAGCGUGUGCCUAAGAUAAAAAGUGAAAAGGUGUCUGUGGGAGUUAGUGUGCUAAAUUUGAUUGAAUCACAGAUGAGACCAAUAGGGUUAGUUUUGCAAGCAUAAAGAUUUUCUACAGUAAUAAAACAACUUAAGGUUACUUACGUAACCCCAAA